rnacentral:rRNA from 1 species
UACGUAGGGUGCGAGCGUUGUCCGGAAUUACUGGGCGUAAAGAGCUCGUAGGUGGUUUGUCGCGUUGUUCGUGAAAUCUCACGGCUUAACUGUGAGCGUGCGGGCGAUACGGGCAGACUUGAGUACUGCAGGGGAGACUGGAAUUCCUGGUGUAGCGGUGGAAUGCGCAGAUAUCAGGAGGAACACCGGUGGCGAAGGCGGCAUCCUGGACCAAUUCUGACGCUGAGGAGCGAAAGCCAGGGGAGCAAACGGG